rnacentral:rRNA from 1 species
AACGUCUCUAAUUCAAAACCGAACAUGACAUUUUGAUUUCAUUUGGCUCCUUUAUGGAUAUUGUCACCACUUAACAUCUAUGUCAGCUUUUCUAUUUGA